CUGCUACUCCCUCCGUCCCAAAAUUCUUGUCUUAGAUUUGCCUAGAUACGGAUGUAUCAAGAGUGAUACAUCCGUAUCUAGGCAAAUCUAAGACAAGAAUUUUGGGACGGAAGAAGUAUUUU
rfam:Triticum aestivum genome assembly, contig: Triticum_aestivum_CS42_TGACv1_scaffold_222620_3B